rnacentral:rRNA from 1 species
UACGUAGGGGCCGAGCGUUGUCCGGAUUUAUUGGGCGUAAAGAGCGUGUAGGCGGCCGCUUAAGUCCUGCGUGAAAUCUCGGAGCUCAACUCCGAGCGGUCGUGGGAAACUGGGCGGCUAGAGUGCGGGAGAGGAGAGUGGAAUUCCUGGUGUAGCGGUGGAAUGCGCAGAUAUCAGGAAGAACACCCGUGGCGAAGGCGGCUCUCUGGAACGCAACUGACGCUGAGACGCGA